rnacentral:rRNA from 1 species
AGAACGUCGUGAGACAGUUCGGUCCCUAUCCGGCGCGGGCGGAGGAUAUUUGAGAGGAGCUGCCCCUAGUACGAGAGGACCGGGGUGGACGGACCACUGGUGUAUCAGCUGUCGACCAACGGCAUAGCUGAGUAGCCAAGUCUGGACGGGAUAAACGCUGAAGGCAUCUAAGCGUGAAGCCCCCCUCAAGAUGAGAUAUCCCCUCCUUCAAGGAGAUAAGAUCCCUUAAAGACGAUAAGGUAGAUAGGUUCAAGGUGUAAGUGCGGUAACGCAUUCAGCUGAUGAAUACUAAUAGAUCGAAGGUUUAUUCUA